rnacentral:rRNA from 1 species
UACGGAGGGGGCUAGCGUUGUUCGGAAUUACUGGGCGUAAAGGGCGCGUAGGCGGCCACCGCAAGUCAGUUGUGAAAUCUCUGGGCUUAACCCAGAACGGUCAGCUGAUACUGCGGGGCUAGAGUGCAGAAGGGGCAACUGGAAUUCUCGGUGUAGCGGUGAAAUGCGUAGAUAUCGAGAGGAACACCUGCGGCGAAGGCGGGUUGCUGGGCUGACACUGACGCUGAGGCACGAAAGCGUGGGGAGCAAACAGG